ACUACAAGCCAUUCAGGCUGGGACACAAGGCAGGACAGGGCAGGUGGGACCGGAGUGGCAGGGAGGGCUUCUCAUUGAUUGGAUGCUACUCUUCAGCUCAGGAGGUGGCCUGUGUCACAGCGCUCUGCUGCUUCCCCAGUUUCCCCUCAUCUCCUCCCACCAAGCCCACCAGACUCGCCUUCGGGGAUCUGCCCUGUGCCCUUCUCAGCCACAUGGGUCUGAGCGACCCACCCCCAGCUCCAGGGGUGGGACCCGAUUGCUAAACAUUUAUUAAGCAUCUCUUCACUGGACUGAUGCACUGGAUGACAAGGACACCACCUUAGCCUCAGGGAGCCCAGUCUUGUCCCAGAGGAAGACUCUGUCAUGAGAAGUGUCUGAAAGGACAUCAGAGCACUUAACUCCCUUGGGACGGGACUUUCUCAGCCCCUGGGCUCCCACCAGCUCUGGCCAUGCCCACCAUGUGCACAUUUCUCAGACACCAGUCCAUCCAGCCAUGCUCUGCGCACCCUCCUGUGUGCCUGGGGCUGCCCUGACCUGGCCCACCCUCCACAACAUGUGACUGGAGGUGAAGAUGGAGGGAUGAAGAAAACAGCAGCCACCUGGUUCUCAAAACAGAUCUGAAGGAGGAGGAGGCAAGGGGAGAGAAGAUUCGAGAAGCCAGAGCCACCCCAGAGAGCUCCCUCAUCCUUCUGCCAUGUGAGGACACGGAGAGAAGCUGGCCAUCUUAGGACCCAGGCAGUGGACCCUCAGCAGACAUGGAAUCUGCCAAUGCCUUGAUCUUGGACUUCCCUGUCUCCAGAACUGUGAGAAACACAUUUCUGUUGUUUAUAAGCCUCCCCUCCAGGUCCCCUGGCUUGUGUGAUCUUGUUCCAGUAGCCCAAAUGGACAAAAACACCAUUUAUGUUUUCCCACUCUCUUCCUCUAUUAUUUCCGGUUAGGAUCUAGAUUAUAAGGAUCCAAUAAAGAAGGAUCUACUUACAAGGAUCUAGACAACUGCAUUUUUACCCAAUAACACAACACCCAGGUGAGACUGUGAUGAAGCUGGAAUAAGAACCCUCAGCACCCAGAGUUGGAGAAAGCAGGCGGCCGAACUUGGUGUGUCUCUCCCUGGGGAAAGAUCAAGGAUGUGUUCCCUUAUAGGAGGGCUAAUCAUCCUGGGUGGAUGCAUGAGGCCGCAGCUGUUCUGCAUGGAAGCUGUUGUUCGUGAAUCUGGGUGGAAAGGUGAGGACACAGGCUGAGCAGGAAGGGUGAUGAAGAGGAUAUUUCCUGUUUGCCACCAGCUCCAUCCCCACGUCCCCCUCCUCUAGCCCAUUGACUAGGGAUGGAUCCUUGAAAACUACAUUGCCCAGAAUCCUUUGCUAGGAACCUCCCUGUUACAUUCAGCCAGUGGGAGGCCGUCUGUGGGCUGGGCCAGUGGGGACCCAAAGGAGAGCCAAAGCUAUUCCCCUCUGGUUCUGGUGGCUUCUCUGCAGGGAAGGGUGACUAUGGGCUCAGCAGAUGUGUUCCCAACCGAUUGAUAAUAAAUUAAUAGAUCCGCUGGACAAGUACCCAGAUACAAAACUACGUAAAGAUCUCUGCCUUUAAGAAGCUCACAUUUUAGAGAAGCAGCCAAACUAUAUGAUCCAUGAGCCAAAUCCAGCCUGCCAUGUUUUCCCCUGGCUGGCAAACUGAGAAUUAUUUUUAAAUUUGUAAAUUGUUGACCAAAAAAUCAACAGAAGAAUAUUUUGUAACAUAAGAGAAGUAUAUGCAGUUGAUGUUUUAGUAUCCAUAAAUAGUUUUUGGAACACAGCCACGCUGGCAGAGUUGAGAAGUUGCAACAGAGACAAUAUGGUUUCGAGCCUAAAAUAUUUACUAUCUGGCCCUUUACAGAAAACGUUUGCUGAUCCCUGACCCAGAGAAUGAGACAGAGGGGAGGGAGCAGGGAUGGGAGCUGAGAGCUCCUGUGCGGGGUGAGCCCUGCUGGAGCACAGAGGGAGGGGGCCACUUUGACAGGAGCAGCUUCCAGGCAGAGGGAAGGGUUCACAAAGCUCUGAAACCCCACAGCUUGUGUGGGAUGCUCUGUCGUUAGUGCAUGGUGAGAGGGGAGACAGGCAGGCGAGGACACUGACUUGGUCAGGGGUGCUGGGAAGGGCCUUCAGCACCAAAGGCCAGGGCGAGACUCCUUCUGGGGGUGGCGGAGAGACACUGCAGGCUGUGUGGACUGGGCAAUGUUUAGGGAAGGUCGUUCCAGCUACAGAAUGGAGUUACAGGAGGAAGUGACAAGCUGCAGGGACAGUGGUUAGGAAAGCCCAGGUGGGUUGUCCACCCCUGCCUUGCCCCCUCCUAGCCGCGUGACCUUGGGCAGGCACUUAACCUCUCUGGCCUCCCUCAGCAGCCCCGCGGGGACCACAGUGCCCCGCUCUGAGAUCUGUCAGGAGGAUUAGAUGAGCGGAUACAUUAAAGUGUUUGGUUCUCGGGGCGUCUGAAAAAUUGCUGUGGCUAGUAUGGCAAUCAUCCUGCAACUGUCCUGGGGGGACACCUCCCACCCUAGAUUCUAGGAGCUCCCUGUGGCUGCAUCCUGCCGGGCCGCUCUUGACCGUGAAUCCUGAGAAACAGUCCUGGGCCCUGGAGACUGAAGAAGGAAGGAUCAGGAGUGGUUUGCAUGACUGUCCUGAGACUCAGGGAGAGACCCCGGGGAGGGCAGUUGUUGGAAGUAAAACAUUCAUAGUGAGGUGGUUUGUCGUACAGCCUCCAGGCAGCAGGUCUCUAAAGGGCUGUGGGACCUCGCGAGGGUCUCCUCUGGAAAAUCCGGGGGUUGGAAUUGGUGACCACCGAAACUUUUACUAGCAGUUUCCAGGUACCCUUCACAGCACCCCCAGACUCCCCCAAAUCUGGCUCCUGGGAGCCGGGUGUCUUGUUUCACCAACCGGACCACGAACGCCCCCAGCCCAGAGCCUGGCCUUCACGGCUCCCAUUACUCUUUCCUUCCCGCUCUUUGUAUCUUGGGCUUGACUCCACUUGGGGGGAGGCCUGCUGGAAACAGUGCCCAUUGGGCCACCUGGCCAUGCAGUGGGCCCACUCGGGCUCAUGAGAACCGUCGCUCUGGGAAUACAAGUCUGGGUGUGUGGGAGAGAGACACUGGGGCAGUCCCAGCCAUGGCACCCAACAGCCAGUGGGACCUGAGCACCCAUCUCCAUCCAGAGGUGAGACCACCUUUCCAGAUCCACCUAACCUCAGAAUGGGAAAGGGCAUCAGAUUGCCCGGCCCCAGCCCUCCUGGUUCAUGCAUCUGCCCGAGAAGUCACUGUCGGAGCCAGGACUAGAGCCCAGGACUCUGGACUCCCUGUCCAGUGCUCCUUCCACCAUGCCUUCCUGCCCCCAAUUUGUCCUUCACUCUCAGGCUGGUGUAGACACAGCCCCAGACAGCGUCUUCCACCAUGGGCAGGCAUGUGUUUUAGUCAUGGUGUGAUGUCUGGUUUUUAUUUAAAUGAACCAGCACGGGGAGGACAAAAUUACGACCCAGGAGAGAUGAGAGUGCCUUGUGAGCUGAGGUGUAUCCACCCCACCCUCUGACUCCCCUGUCGACUCUGAAGCGAAACUCAAGGGCAAUUAGAUUUUACAUAUUUUGCCUUUUAUACUU